rnacentral:tRNA from 1 species
UGGGGUAUCACCGAGCGGUAAGGCACCGGAUUCGGAUUCGGGCAUUGCGAGGUUGGAAUCCUCCUACCCCAGCCA